rnacentral:rRNA from 1 species
CCUACGGGGGGCAGCAGUGGGGAAUAUUGGUCAAUGGGGGAAACCCUGAUCCAGCGACGCCGCGUGAGUGAAGAAGUAUUUCGGUAUGUAAAGCUCUAUUAGCAGGGAAGAAAAUGACGGUACCUGACUAAUAAGCCCCGGCUAACUACGUGCCAGCAGCCGCGGUAAUACGUAGGGGGCAAGCGUUAUCCGGAUUUACUGGGCGUAAAGGGGGCGUAGACGGGAUAGCAAGUCAGAUGUGAAAGCCUGGGGCUUAACCCCAGGCCUGCAUUUGAAACUGUGAGGCUGGAGUACAGGAGAGGUAAGCGGAAUUCCUGGUGUAGCGGUGAAAUGCGUAGAUAUUAGGAGGAAUACCGAUUGCGAAGGCGGCUUACUGGACUAUAACUGACGCUGAGGCUCGAAAGCGUGGGGAGCAAACAGGAUUAGAUACCCGGGUAGUC